rnacentral:lncRNA from 1 species
AGGUCUUUAAAAACGCGUGGAACAUAAAACAGCUACGUCGCUUUUACCCUUAGAACCUUGUAAAAAAUUUCCGUUUGUUCAUCACCUUAAAAGAAUAAAUGAAAGUCUAAGUUAUACGGCCUUUUUCUAUCAGAGAGCCUCGGACCUGCCUAGCAGAGUCCGAGCCUCCCUCGGGGGCUAUAUGGGGGAAACCCCUAUGGCGACUCCAAAUCUUUCUUCCUUUUUUCCACGAAUUAAAGGAACCCUGACCCAAGGUCUUCCUCCUAUUUUUCUAAAAAGGUUUAAGAAACCGAAAUUUCAUCCCCUGAAUCUUAAGGCAUGAGCCCGAGGUAAGAUCCGCGCUCACGAGCAAAGACGACCUCUACUCACCUUAGGGUCGGAGGGCGGAUCCGGACUUCUAAAAAGCUACUAAGGAAAAAGGAAAAAGACUUAGGCUCGGGGACUCUGGCUAGCGCAAAGUAGCUCACCCGACCUCGCGUUGCCAAGGUCGGGUCGGCAUAAGGAAAAAGAAAACAAGACACUGAGGAAAAAUCUUAAAAGGAAUGGUCAAAUGAAUAUCCAUACUAAGCAUUAACAUUGUAUAUACAAUACAAGGCCCACUGGCCUUAACAUCUACAAAAAGGAAAAAAAAAGAAAUCUAACUUCAAGGGCCUUGCUGCCCUGCCUGCGCAGGCCCUUGAACCCCGAGGGGGG